AGCGAACGCUGGCGGCAGGCCUAACACAUGCAAGUCGAACGAAGUCUUCGGACUUAGUGGCGGACGGGUGAGUAACACGUGGGAACGUGCCCUUUGGUACGGAAUAACUCAGGGAAACUUGAGCUAAUACCGUAUGUGCCUUUCGGGGGAAAGAUUUAUCGCCAUUGGAGGGGCCCGCGUCUGAUUAGCUGGUUGGUGAGGUAAAGGCACACCAAGGCGACGAUCAGUAGCUGGUCUGAGAGGAUGAUCAGCCACAUUGGGACUGAGACACGGCCGAAAAUCCUACGGGAGGCAGCAGUGGGGAAUCGUGCGAAAUGGGGGAAAGCCUGACGCAGCCAUGCCGCGUGAAUGAUGAAGGUCUUAGGAUUGUACAAUUCUUUCACCGGGGACGAUAAUGACGGUACCCGGAGAAGAAGCCCCGGCUAACUUCGUGCCAGCCGCCGCAGUAACAC
rnacentral:rRNA from 1 species